ACUCCUACGGGAGGCAGCAGUGGGGAAUCUUGGACAAUGGGGGCAACCCUGAUCCAGCCAUGCCGCGUGAGUGAAGAAGGCCUUAGGGUCGUAAAGCUCUUUCGCCUGUGAAGAUAAUGACGGUAGCAGGUAAAGAAACCCCGGCUAACUCCGUGCCAGCAGCCGCGGUAAUACGGAGGGGGUUAGCGUUGUUCGGAAUUACUGGGGCGUAAAGCGCGCGUAGGCGGACCAGAAAGUUGGGGGUGAAAUCCCGGGGCUCAACCCCGGAACUGCCUCCAAAACUCCUGGUCUUGAGUUCGAGAGAGGUGAGUGGAAUUCCGAGUGUAGAGGUGAAAUUCGUAGAUAUUCGGAGGAACACCAGUGGCGAAGGCGGCUCACUGGCUCGAUACUGACGCUGAGGUGCGAAAGUGUGGGGAGCAAACAGGAUUAGAUACCCUGGUAGGACAGUG
rnacentral:rRNA from 1 species